rnacentral:rRNA from 1 species
CUUCCUGUACCGAUUCUAGAUGCGAUGUGGGGACGGAGAAGGUUAGGUCAGCCAACUGUUGGAAUAGUUGGUUUAAACGUGUAGGCGUGCCCCUUAGGCAAAUCCGGGGGGCUAAGCUGAGGCGUGACGACGAGGUCUCUUUGAGACCGAAGUGAUUGAUACCCUGCUUCCAGGAAAAGCCACUAAGCUUCAGUCUAGAAUUGACCGUACCGCAAACCGACACAGGUGGGCAGGUAGAAGAUACUAAGGCGCUUGAGAGAACUCAGGAGAAGGAACUCGGCAAAUUGAUACCGUAACUUCGGGAGAAGGUAUGCCCUGGUAGCUUGUAGGAGAACAUCCGAAGGGCGACGGGGCCGCAGAGAAUCGGUGGCUGCGACUGUUUAUUAAAAACACAGCACUCUGCAAACACGAAAGUGGACGUAUAGGGUGUGACGCCUGCCCGGUGCCGGAAGGUUAAGUGAUGGGGUGCAAGCUCUUGAUCGAAGCCCCGGUAAACGGCGGCCGUAACAAUAACGGUCCUAAGGUAGCGAAAUUCCUUGUCGGGUAAGUUCCGACCUGCACGAAUGGCGUAACGAUGGCCACACUGUCUCCUCCUGAGACUCAGCGAAGUUGAAGUGUUUGUGAAGAUGCAAUCUCCCCGCGGCUAGACGGAAAGACCCCAUGAACCUUUACUGUAGCUUUGCAUUGGACUUUGACGGGACUUGUGUAGGAUAGGUGGGAGGCGCUGAGACCAGGACGCUAGUUCUGGUGGAGCCGUCCUUGAAAUACCACCCUGGUGUCGUUGAGGUUCUAACCUAGGUCCAUCAUCUGGAUCGGGGACCGUGCAUGGUAGGCAGUUUGACUGGGGCGGUCUCCUCCCAAAAGGUAACGGAGGAGUACGAAGGUCUUCUAGGUACGGUCGGACAUCGUACUGAUAGUGCAAUGGCAAAAGAAGGCUUGACUGCGAGACCGACAAGUCGAGCAGGUGCGAAAGCAGGUCAUAGUGAUCCGGUGGUUCUGUAUGGAAGGGCCAUCGCUCAACGGAUAAAAGGUACUCUGGGGAUAACAGGCUGAUUCCGCCCAAGAGUUCACAUCGACGGCGGAGUUUGGCACCUCGAUGUCGGCUCAUCACAUCCUGGGGCUGUAGCCGGUCCCAAGGGUAUGGCUGUUCGCCAUUUAAAGUGGUACGUGAGCUGGGUUUAAAACGUCGUGAGACAGUUUGGUCCCUAUCUGCCGUGGGCGCUGGAUAUUUGAGGGGGCCUGCUCCUAGUACGAGAGGACCGGAGUGGACGGAUCUCUGGUGUACCGGUUGUGACGCCAGUCGCAUCGCCGGGUAGCUAAAUCCGGAAGAGAUAACCGCUGAAAGCAUCUAAGCGGGAAACUCGCCUCGAGAUGAGAUAUCCCUGGGAACUUGAUUCCCCUGAGGGGUCGUCGAGGACCACGACGUUGAUAGGUCGGGUGUGGAAGC